CCUACGGGAGGCAGCAGUGGGGAAUAUUGCGCAAUGGGCGCAAGCCUGACCCAGCAACGCCGCGUGAAGGAAGAAGGCUUUCGGGUUGUAAACUUCUUUUCUGAGGGACGAAGAAAGUGACGGUACCUCAGGAAUAAGCCACGGCUAACUACGUGCCAGCAGCCGCGGUAAUACGUAGGCGGCAAGCGUUAUCCGGAUUGAUUGGUUGUAAAGGGCGGGUAGGCGGGAAAGCAAGUCAGAUGUGAAAACUCAGGGCUCAACCCUGAGCCUGCAUUUGAAACUGUUUUUCGUGAGUGCUGGAGAGGCAAUCGGAAUUCCGUGUGGAGCGGUGAAAUGCGUAGAUAUACGGAGGAACACCAGUGGCGAAGGCGGAUUGCUGGACAGUAACUGACGCUGAGGCGCGAAAGCGUGGGGAGCAAACAGGAUUAGAUACCCUUGUAGUC
rnacentral:rRNA from 1 species